rnacentral:snRNA from 1 species
GUGCUCGCUUCGGCAGCACAUACACUAAAAUUGGAACGAUACAGAGAAGAUUAGCAUGGCCCCUGCGCAAGGAUGACACGCAAAUACUCAGCCGUUAAAAAGAAUUCA